CAGCGAUGCCGCGUGAGUGAAGAAGGCCCUUGGGUUGUAAAGCUCUUUCGUCGGGGAAGAAAAUGACUGUACCCGAAUAAGAAGGUCCGGCUAACUUCGUGCCAGCAGCCGCGGUAAUACGAAGGGACCUAGCGUAGUUCGGAAUUACUGGGCUUAAAGAGCACGUAGGUGGUUAAAAAAGUUGGUGGUGAAAUCCCAGAGCUUAACUCUGGAACUGCCAUCAAAACUUUUUAGCUAGAGUAUGAUAGAGGAAAGUAGAAUUUCUAGUGUAGAGGUGAAAUUCGUAGAUAUUAGAAAGAAUACCGAUUGCGAAGGCAACUUUCUGGAUCAUUACUGACACUGAGGUGCGAAAGCAUGGGUAGCGAAGAGGAUUAGAUACCCUCGUAGUCCAUGCCGUAAACGAUGUGUGCUAGACGUUGGAAAUUUAUUUU
rnacentral:rRNA from 1 species